AUUUUCAAUACCCCAGAUCCGAUUCGGAUUCAUUUCAGUAGCAAAGCAGAGCACGAGCAGGAAACACAUCAAUUAGUCUCUAAACAAAAUUAAGGACAGGAAGAAUCGCAGCAGCCCAUGAAGACACUAUAGAUUGAUUGGCGCAAAACAUAUGUUCAGUGGGGCCAUAUGACGUCUUAUUUGAGCGACUUCAAUCUAUGGUAUUUUCGUCUGCUGCUGCGAUGAAGAGCCGUCCAUUGUACUGUCACAGGAGUGACCUCAUUAAGUUGAAAUCCCGAAAAAUCCCAAAGAAGUCUUCCAGCAAAUUUCAAAAGUUUUGGCAUUCAAGGAAGAAACGAGCAAAACAAAGGGCCUGUUCUCUGGGAGUAUGGUCACGUAAGGGGGCCGCUGUCCAUUCCAUUUCCGAUUUCAUCGAGCGUGGUCUGGAUUUAAUGUCGCAGCCUAGCAUACCGCAUGCCUCCUCCAUACAUCCACACGAGGGGCUUUCUACACUCUCCUCACUCGACUGAAUAUUCAGUCACUGAAUUUUCCCUAUUCCUAAUACUUACCGUUUAGUCUUUGUGGGUUUUCCAUGUCCCUGGCACUCAAUCGUGGAUGGCUGUACGCAUUCGCUACUGGAUCCUGAGGAUAGCUCACUGACGGAUGAUUCGCUUCCUUCGAGCGACACAACUUCAAUACUGUUUGCUUAUAUAAAGAAGUGAAUAAAUUUUGCAUUUUUUUAUAAAUUAA